rfam:Buttiauxella agrestis ATCC 33320 GBAG.assembly.083, whole genome shotgun sequence.
GAAUUAAGUGAGUCGUGAAGGGUUUGAACCUGCAGCAGGUUCGAGUUGAGCGAAAGCGAAACAGCGUUGCGUAGCAACGACCCGAAGGGUGAGGCCAAAGGCCGAAUCAUCCUGCACGCCCCACCA